UUUGGCCCCCAAUCAAGCAAGGCUACCCGCUGAACUUAAGCAUAUCAAUAAGCGGAGGAAAAGAAACCAACAGGGAUUGCCCUAGUAACGGCGAGUGAACAGGCAAAAGCUCAGAUUUGAAAGCCUCUCGGGGCAUUGUAUUCUGAAGCCUUGAUUCUGAGAACCGGUACCUAAGUCUUCUGGAAAGGAGCGCCAAGGAGGGUGAUAGCCCCGUACGGUACUGACCUCAUUGUAGAAUCUUGGCGUGGAGUCGAGUUGUUUGGGAAUGCAGCUCAAAUGGGUGGUAUGCUCCAUCUAAAGCUAAAUAUCUGCGAGAGACCGAUAGCGAACAAGUACUGUGAAGGAAAGAUGAAAAGAACUUUGAAAAGAGAGUGAAAAAGUACGUGAAAUUGUUGAAAUGGAAGGAUAGGCCGCUAACCACGUAGAGCCGUGUCUGAGGGGAGGAUAAAAGCUGUAGAAUGUGGCUCUUCGGAGUGUUAUAGCUACAGUGCAUACUCCCACUCGGGCGCGAGGACCUAAGGCUCUGCUAAAUGGUGGUCUAUCAC
rnacentral:rRNA from 1 species